GGAGUACAGCACUAAAAAUUCUAAAUUUCAAUUUUUGGUUUAUUUCUCAAUAUAGAACUCAUUACAUCCAGAGUUUUAUGAGUCUCUUUAGGAAGAUAAGGACAGAUUUCACCCUAUCACCAUGAAGAAAAUAAUCCCUGAAGGUACUCUGUGGCCUGCAUCUCCCAUACCUAACUUCCUUCUUUUGCCCAAAUUCAUAAAGGUUUGAUGGUAUGAUCUUGGAUGAAAAGAGGAGGAUAAAAAUGCAAGACAGGAAAGUUUAUGUCACCAGCUGGCUUAAUGAAAGAUGCUUGGGAAUUGAUCCUCUAAAUAUUUUUGAGUUUUUAAUAUGUAACAAAAAAUAAUGUGGUAUUUAUUGGCAUGUUUCAUGAGUUAAAUUUAAAACUUUAUUGUCGACUGGCUUCCAGGGACAACCCUUAGAAAGUCAGGCUUAACUCUCUCCCUCUCCGUCUCCCUCUCCCUCUCCCCCUCCCCCUCCCCCUCCUUCUCCCCUCUUUCCACGGUCUCCCUCUGAUGCCGAGCUGAAGCUGGACUGUACUGCUGCCAUCUCGGCUCACUGCAACCUCCCUGCCUGAUUCUCCUGCCUCAGCCUGCGGAGUGCCUGCGAUUGCAGGCACGCGCCGCCACGACUGACUGGUUUUCGUAUUUUUUGGGUGGAGACGGGAUUUCGCUGUGUUGGCCGGGCUGGUCUCCAGCUCCUAACCGCGAGUGAUCCGCCAGCCUCGGCCUCCCGAGGUGCCGGGAUUGCAGACGGAGUCUCCUUCACUCAGUGCUCAAUGGUGCCCAGGCUGGAGUGCAGUGGCAUGAUCUCGGCUCGCUACAACAUCCACCUCCCAGCAGCCUGCCUUGGCCUCCCAAAGUGCCGAGAUUGCAGCCUCUGCCCGGCUGCCACCCUGUCUGGGAAGUGAGGAGCGUCUCUGCCUGGCCACCCAUCGUCUGGGAUGUGAGGAGCCCCUCUGCCUGGCUGCCCAGUCAGGAAAGUGAGGAGCAUCUCUGCCCAGCCGCCAUCCCAUCUAGGAAGUGAGGAGCGCCUCUUCCCGGCCGCCAUCCCAUCUAGGAAGUGAGGAGCGUCUCUGCCCGGCCGCCCAUCGUCUGAGAUGUGGGGAGCGCCUCUGCCCUGUCGCCCCGUCCGGGAUGUGAGGAGCGUCUCUGCCCAGCCGCCCUGUCUGAGAAGUGAGGAGACCCUCUGCCUGGCAACCGCCCUGUCUGAGAAGUGAGGAGCCCCUCCGCCCGGCAGCCACCCCGUCUGGGAAGUGAGGAGCGUCUCCGCCCGGCAGCCACCCCGUCCGGGAGGGAGAUGGGGGGGUCAGCCCCCCGCCCGGCCAGCCACCCCGUCUGAGAGGUGAGGGGCGCCUCUGCCCGGCCGCCCCUACUGGGAAGUGAAGAGCCCCUCUGCCCGGCCAGCCGCCCCGUCCAGGAGGGAGGUGGGGGGGUCAGCCCCCUGCCCGGCCAGCCACCCCAUCCGGGAGGUGAGGGUCGCCUCUGCCCGGCCGCCCCUACUGGGAAGUGAGGAGCCCCUCUGCCCGGCCACCACCCCGUCUGGGAGGUGUACCCAACAGCUCAUUGAGAACGGGCCAUGAUGACAAUGGCAGUUUUGUGGAAUAGAAAGGGGGGAAAGGUGGGGAAAAGAUUGAGAAAUCGGAUGGUUGCCGUGUCUGUGUAGAAAGAGGUAGACAUGGGAGACUUUUCAUUUUGUUCUGUACUAAGAAAAAUUCUUCUGCCUUGGGAUCCUGUUGAUCUGUGACCUUACCCCCAACCCUGUGCUCUCUGAAACAUGUGCUGUGUCCACUCAGGGUUAAAUGGAUUAAGGGCGGUGCAAGAUGUGCUUUGUUAAACAGACGCUUGAAGGCAGCAUGCUCAUUAAGAGUCAUCACCACUCCCUAAUCUCAAGUACCCAGGGACACAAACGCUGCGGAAGGCCGCAGGGUCCUCUGCCUAGGAAAACCAGAGACCUUUGUUCACUUGUUUAUCUGCUGACCUUCCCUCCACUAUUGUCCUAUGACCCUGC
rnacentral:lncRNA from 10 species